rnacentral:piRNA from 1 species
CGAAAAGAGUCAGCAAAGGAUGAUGGGAUU